rnacentral:rRNA from 1 species
AAGAGGGUAGGGAAGUCGACAGGCUGGCCGCCAAGAAAAGCCGCUAUUGUUUAUUACGGACCCGUACCGUAAACCGACACAGGUGGAUGAGGAGAGAAUCCUAAGGCCGACGGGAGAAGUAUUGUUAAGGAACUCGGCAACAUGACCCCGUAACUUCGGGAGAAGGGGUGCCUGCGAAAGCAGGCCGCAGAGAAUAGGUCCAAGCAACUGUUUAGCAAAAACACAGGUCUAUGCGAAACCGAAAGGUGAAGUAUAUGGGCUGACGCCUGCCCGGUGCUGGAAGGUUAAGGGGAGUGCUUAGCGUAAGCGAAGGUGCGAACUUAAGCCCCAGUAACCGGCGGCCGUAACGAUAACGGUCCUAAGGUAGCGAAAUUCCUUGUCGGGUAAGUUCCGACCCGCACGAAAGGCGUAAUGAUUUGGACGCUGUCUCAACAAUACACCCGGUGAAAUUGAAAUACCUGUGAAGAUGCUGGUCACCUGCGCCAGGACGGAAAGACCCCAUGGAGCUUUACUCCAGCUUGAUGCUGGGAUUCGGUACGGCAUGUACAGGAUAGGUGGGAGACUGAGAAGAGGUGACGCCAGUUGCCUCGGAGUCGAUGUUGGGAUACCACCCUUGCCGUAUUGGAUUUCUAACUAUCCGCCGUGAACCGGCGGGAGGACAACGUCAGGUGGGGAGUUUGACUGGGGCGGUCGCCUCCGAAAGGGUAUCGGAGGCGCUCAAAGGUUCCCUCAGAAUGGUCGGAAACCAUUCGAAGAGUGCAAAGGCAGAAGGGAGCUUGACUGCGACACCGACGGGUGGAGCAGGUAGGAAACUAGGACUUAGUGAUCCGGCGGUAUGAAAGUGGGAUUGCCGUCGCUCAACGGAUAAAAGUUACCCUGGGGAUAACAGGCUAAUCACUCCCAAGAGUUCACAUCGACGGAGUGGUUUGGCACCUCGAUGUCGGCUCAUCGCAUCCUGGGGCUGUAGUAGGUCCCAAGGGUUGGGCUGUUCGCCCAUUAAAGCGGUACGCGAGCUGGGUUCAGAACGUCGUGAGACAGUUCGGUCCCUAUCCGGCGCGGGCGUAGGAUAUUUGAGAGGAGCUGCCCUUAGUACGAGAGGACCGGGGUGGACUGACCGCUGGUGUACCGGUUGUACUGCCAAGUGCAUAGCCGGGUAGCCAAGUCGGGACGGGAUAAACGCUGAAGGCAUCUAAGCGUGAAGCCCCCCUCAAGAUGAGAUAUCCCUAGCUAAAAGCUAAUAAGACCCCUUGAAGACGACGAGGUAGAUAGGUCUGAGGUGGAAGUACAGUAAUGUAUGGAGCUGACAGAUACUAAUCGGUCGAAGGCUUGAUC